rnacentral:tmRNA from 1 species
GGGGGCGAUUGGACUUGACUGGUUCUCCGCGAGGUGACGGUGGCGUGUCGUGGUUGAUCAGUUUGCCACGUAAAAAGCUGAUCACACACUAACUGCCAAACCGCAGUUUGCACUGGCCGCCUAAUUAGGCGACCCCAGCUGAGGAAGCCCUGCCUGAGGCGUCCGAAAGCUGGUCACAAUUCAGGCUGGCUGUCGGCCAACCGGUUGCUACUCCGACAGCGAGACACGUGGUAGCCUCGGCUGCACAACGCCGGGUUUCUUGUGCUGAGUGCAGCGACAUUAGAACGAGGAACUACACACGUAGAAGCCGCACUUCAGGGUUCGCAGGACGCGGGUUCGAUUCCCGCCGCCUCCAUUU